GUUUGAUUGUUCUCAUGUAAAUUUUUUUUUUUUUUUAACAGACCGGGUUUUAAUCACUGGAAGGCAGGAGAACAACUUUGGGUCAUUUGGGUACGCAGACUGGGAAUUCCAAGAUGCCUUAGUAUCAGGCGAAACAUAAGGGCUUCAACUUGGCUCACUCAGGGUGUAUAGUUUUCAUUGAUUCUCAAGAAAGUCCGUGAUUAAGUAUCCCUGCCCAAAGGUGAGGAUGCAUUUUCAGGGCACUGGCAGCAAGGAGGAGCAGGACCCCGAGGCAGCCCUGAGGCCCCAGUGAACGCCCAGCCAAGAAGUGCGGAGGGUGCCUCUCGUUGCUUUCCUCGCUGGCGGGCAGUGCCCGACUUUCCCCAGGAUGCCUGAGGUUUCCGAAUUCGCUCAUGUAUACCCAGCCUUGAGCCACUACGAAGACCUGUGCAGACCCCGGUGUGUCUCCUUUCCUGCAUGUGAUACUAAAACCCACAUCACAAUGCCCACGCCAAAAGACCAGCUGGAAACUACGGUUGUGAUACCUCCUUUCCUCCUAAACUCUGUCAGGUUGAAUUUGGCUUCUAUUUCAAUUAUAUUAUAUAUGAGGGGUCACAUGUGUUCCAGUUUGUGGAAAAUGGUGUUCCAGGCUGUGUUUCCAGCAAGCUGUGGCAAGAAUCAGCCUUUUAGACCGAAGGGGUACAAGGACAAAAGAAGAAGGAAAAGAGUAAGAAAUUCCAGACUGAGGCCGAGGCUGGACAGUUUCAUGGAUCAGCAUCUAUUCGCUGUUUCACACUUGGGGCUUAUUCUGUAAAGUACCAUCGCCAACCCACCAACUCUUACAC
rnacentral:lncRNA from 1 species